UUGUAAGAUUUAGAAAGUUUUCUGUCAUGACGUCGGUUCAGAUUAACCAUAAUUUCAUUUGGUCGUAAGAGGGCGUUUGUAGUUCGCCAGCCUAAAAGUCACGAAAUUUGAAAUGUUUUGUGGACAGUGAUUCCAUCAGUAAUCCCCGACAAUCGAGACAAGCCCAAUGUUGUAAGUACUAUAAAGCUGUUAUUUGUAUAAAUCAAUCUUUAAUUGUUUGUAUGAGGCCAAAAAUGGCACAAGAUAUAAAUCUAGUUUUCUGUAAUUUUAAGAUGAAAAGUACGUUAAAAUGUUGUCUGUGCAUGUAGCACCACAUAUAGACAAACGUAGGAUAACGUGUGUGAAUGCACAAUUUGUGCAUACAUCAGUUUGUGUUGAGGAUAAUCUAGAUUUGUGUGUAAUGAGUGAUGAUAAUUGACAUGAAACAAAGAGUAUGAAUUGUUUUCCUUGGUUAUAAAGAAUGUCAAGGGUGUAGAAGCAAAUAGGAAUUUAGUUCAGGAAUCAAGUAAAGAGUGUAAGAUAGAGGCAGGAAAUAAGGCUGGUCGAGGGUUUAUUUGUGUAUGACGUUAACCUACAAGAUAGAGAGGUAUGAUUUGUAAGGGUUAUAUUUGUAAACAAAGGUAGAAUUUGAGACAGUUCAUUAGAAUAAGAUAAAUGAGGCAGUUAUACAGUUUGUGUUUGCACAAGUGAGCUUUACUCACAUAGUUUAUUCUUGAAGGUUUUCUUUACUCAGUUAUGCAUAUUAAGGUCAUUUAUGGCAAGCUAGUUGUGCGAUACAAUAGAUGUUUGUUUAUUCAUGUGAAUUUGUACACAUGCUUAUGAUUGCUUGUUUGUUUUAUUGAUAUUACAGAUGAACUGCAUUUUAUGCACGUAUCUCAACUUGGAUGUCGUCGUCCUUUCUUUAAGCCUACUGUUGGGGUCACUUCAGCAGAAUUUAACGUCACAUAAAGUUCAUAACAGCUUUAGCAUUCGUCACCAUGAGUCAAGUAGGUGUUGAUGAUGUCAAUCCAGAGGAUUCUGCAAGUCAGGUUGGGAAGAGUUCCACCACGUCAUCUGGACUUAGGACCAGGGCCAAGAGGGCUGCAAUAGCAGCAGAAUUAGCAGUUCUUCAGGAAGAACAAGAGAUAGAACUCGAAGAAAUACGCCUUAAGCAAAGGAAGGCUAAGUUACUCUUACGUGCCAAGCUCAGCGCAGCAGAGGCAGAAGAAGACGUGUAUGAGCAACACAGGAGUGGCAGUAAGGUGUCGAGUAUAGGGAAUAGGAGUUCCAGUCAGCAGAAUGUCAAGCAGGUGCAUGAAAGUGCAGAGCAUGCUACGGAACAUCAUCAUCAUGUCAGCAAUCAUGAUGUCAAGGAACCUGCGCUCCUACAAGAGACUAUUCCUUUUCCAGCUCAGCAAAUGGCUUCAUCUCCCAUUUCAGGUCAAGCUUAUCAACCACGAGACGACCGAGAAUUUUAUCUGCAGACCCAAGUUCAGCAACAACGAUGGUUGGAAGCUAUCAGUCUGGCUAAUGUAGAGAUGAUGAAGUUUGAUGGGAGUCCUUUGCACUUCCAUGAAUUUAUGAUGUCGUUCGACAACUUAAUUGGUCGAUCUUCACUCGAUAGUGGGACAAAACUUAUGAAGUUAUAUCAUUGCUGUGAAGGAGAAGUUAAAGGCAUCAUACAGUGCUGUAUGGUCAUGGAACCACUGUAUGGGUACCAACGAGCCAGAGAGCUGUUGGUGGAACGCUUUGGCAGCAAGUACAAGAUAGGAGAAGCCUGGAUCAAACGCAUAACCACUGGUCCAAUCUGCCAUGCGAAUGACCGGAAGGGGCUGCAGAAGUUUGCAGAUGAGUUGAAGAUCAGCAUGGAAACUCUUCGAGCAAUGGAUCUACUGCAGGAAAUUAGUAGCCAGAGAGAGUUGCUGAAGGUGGCUGAGAGACUUCCAUAUUACCUUAAAGGUAGAUGGUUAAAGUUGGUGAGAGACAUCAGACAGCAGGAGCGUUCUCCCGAUAUCUCGGACAUGGCAAGGUUUGUCUCCAACGCUGCUGAGGAAGCCAAUGAUCCUGUCUUUGGAGAUCUGACAGCAACAACUAAAAGAGUUGAAACUUCAAACCCAGCUUUCAACAAGAAGAGUACAAGAAGUAACUACAUGUACGCUACAGAGGUAACAGAAGUAGCAGUCAACCUGAAGUGCCUGAAGUGUAGGCAAGAACAUUCCUUGUUUGGGUGCGACAGUUUUAAAUCCAUGGCACCCGAGAUGAGAUUUCAGUUUGCUCAGGACAACAGACUAUGUUUCAACUGCCUGCAAUCUGGCCACACCAGUAGGUUUUGCAGAUUGAAUAGAAGAUGCUCAGUACAAGGAUGCCAGAGAAAACACACAAAAUUUCUCCAUUUUGCACAGGAUGCAUCUUCAUCUGCAGGAAGGAUGACAACGACACAGGCUCCAGUUGAAACCCAGAACAACGAAGUCCAUCAAGUCCAGAAUGGGUUCGUUAAGAAGUGUGUCACAGGGGCCGGAAGGUGUGUGCUUCCCAUUGUUCCAGUGAGGGUUAGAGCUCAAGGAGAGAAUGUAUUUGUGAAUACAUAUGCACUGUUGGAUUCUGGUUCAACCAGUACAUUUUGUACAGCCACUUUGGCCAGAGAACUCAAUGCUACUGGAAGGAAGCAAAGUUUAAGCCUGACAACACUGGAGAAGCGUAAUAGCCCCAUAGAGACCUCAGUGAUUAGUCUGAUUGCUGACACGGGACCAGAUACAGACUGUGUGAAGCUACCCUGUGUGUAUACCAGAGACGCCAUUAAUAUCAGAGACACACACAUUGCCAAUGUGGAUGACAUUUCAGGAUAUCAUCACUUAGAAGGAAUCAACCUCCCGAUCAUUGAACGACAUGAAGUUGGACUGUUGAUAGGGCAGGAUUCACCUGAAGCCUUGAUACCUAUCGAGGUGAGACGAGGACAGCAUGGCCCUUAUGCUGUUAGGACCAAAUUGGGUUGGUCAGUGAGUGGACCUGUAGGUUCCAGUUCAGAUGGUGUACCCAAAGCUACAUCUAGCUUCAUUGACAGUAAUGAUAGACUGGAGGAACAAGUCAGCCAAUUCUGGAAGAUCGAAGCUACAGAUGUGCUUAAGAAAGACAAGGCAAUGUCAGUCAAUGACAAGAAGGUAAUGGAAAUAUGGGAGAGAGACAUCCAGCGGGAAGGUGCACAUUUCCAACUACCGGUGCCCUUCAGAAGGAGACCACCUAACUUGCCUGAUAACAAGUGGAGUGCAGAACAGCGUUUGAAAUCGUUGGCAAGGAGAUUGCAAAGAGAUCAAGCAAUGUAUGUGAAAUACAAACAGGGCAUAGAGGAUCUCCUCAGGAAAGGCUAUGCAGAGGAAGUUAGUGAGGAGACUAGGCAACCCAAGGACACCCCUGUUUGGUAUUUGCCCCACCAUCCAGUCUUGAAUCCCCAAAAACCAGACAAGAUGCGAAUCGUGUUCGAUUGUGCGGCCAAGCACCAAGGGGUAUCUUUGAAUGAUGCAGUGUUACAGGGGCCGGACCUUAUCAACAAUUUGAUGGGAGUUUUGCUUAGAUUCCGCCAGCAACCAGUAGCACUCAUGUCAGAUAUAGAGGCAAUGUUCCACCAAGUGAGGGUACCUCCAGAAGAUCGAGACGUGUUGAGAUUCUUGUGGUGGAAGGACGGAGACUUCAACAAGGAACCGCUGGUCUACCGGAUGUGCAUCCACCUCUUCGGAGGUACGUGGAGCCCAAGUGUGUGCAGCCAUGCACUUCGUCAGACAGCAAGAAACGGUGAUGGUAAUGGUAAAGUGGAAGCAUCUAAGGCCAUUCUCGAGAACUUCUAUGUGGACGACUGCCUGGUGUCAGUUGAGAAUGAAGAAACAGCGGUGAAACUUGCUGCGGACUUGAUGGUCUUGCUCAGUGAAGGAGGCUUCAGAUUAACCAAAUGGGUCAGUAACAACCCAUUUGUCCUGCAAUCCAUACCAGAAGAAGAGAGAGCUAAAGAUGUGAGGGGUCCGGAUCUCAAUCAUGAUGCUCUUCCAGUCGAGAGAGCACUUGGAAUCAGCUGGGAUGUAGAAACUGAUUGUUUGCUGUACAAAUUUAGACCCAAGGACAAACCCCAAACCAGGAGGGGUAUCUUGAGUGUUGUAUCUUCCAUCUACGACCCUCUCGGUUACGCCAGUCCUUUCAUCCUAAAGGCUAAGAUGAUCUUGCAGGAACUAACCAGACUUAAACUUGCAUGGGAUGAGGAGAUUCCAAGCAAGGAAAUAGAGAGAUGGAAUGAAUGGUUACAGGAACUACCCAAGAUGACUGAAUUCCAGGUCAACAGAUGCAUCAAACCACACGACUUUGGCAAGGUAGCAGAGUAUAAGCUACAUCACUUUGCAGAUGCUUCAGAGAAAGCCUAUGGAGUCGUUUCCUACCUGCGGAUGAAGGAUGUUGAGGGUCAGGUGCACUGCAGCAUACUAUUUGCAAGGUCACGUCUUGCACCCCUGAAGAGGAUGACAAUCCCACGGCUUGAACUGAUGGCGGCUACACUCUCUGUCACUAUAGACAGUAUGAUACAACGGGAACUGGAUCUGCCGCUCCAAGAGUCAGUGUUUUGGACUGACAGUUCAAUAGUACUUCAUUAUGUGAAGAAUGAGGAUAAACGUUUCCAUACGUUUGUAGCAAACAGAAUUACAACCAUUCAUGAGGGAUCUGAACCAAGGCAGUGGCGACAUGUUAACACUGAUGUCAGUCCAGCCGAUGAUGCCUCGCGUGGACUGACAGCUGAGGAAUUGACUGGACGAUGGAAAGAAGGGCCAAAAUUUUUGUGGUCAGAAGAAUGCGAUUGGCCUAAAAGCUUGACAGUGAAUGAGUCUAGCUUAGAGCAUGACCCAGAGGUAAAGCAAGACAAGACUGGAGUGUUUGCUGCAGCCGAAUCUGAAGUCAAGGCGACAGAUAGACUCCUUGAAAGUUACUCGUCCUGGUUCCGGCUGAAGAAAGGUAUUGCAUGGAUCCUGAAGGUCAAGGAGUGCUUGAGAAGAAAGGCACGCAAAGAUAUGAAUUUACUGGAUAUGAAGCAGCCAGUAACAGUUGAUGAGAUGACUGUAGCUGAAGAAGCAAUUGUCAGAUACGUUCAGCAACAGACCUAUGCUGAGGAGUACAGAGUCUUACAGCAAAAUAAGACUACACAACGGUCACCCACUCGAAUAGCAAAAUCCAGCCCACUAUCUAAAUUGAGCGUGAAACUCACAGACGAAGGAUUGAUAUGUGUUGGAGGAAGACUACACAAUGCACCACUAGAAGAGCAGACAAAACACCCAGUGAUUUUGCCUUCCAAGCAUCAUGUAGUACAGCUUUUGGUGAGACAUUACCACAUUAUGUGUGGUCACUCAGGGAAGGAGUAUGUGCUAUCCCUACUCAGACAACGAUUUUGGAUAAUCAGAGGGAGGUUAGCAGUUCGUCAUGUACUACACAAGUGUUUCACAUGUAAACGUCAACGUGCAAAACCAGUGGAACAGAAGAUGGCAGAUUUGCCGGCAGAUAGAGUGGUACCAGAAAAACCUCCAUUCAGUAACGUGGGAGUUGACUGCUUUGGCCCAUACAUGGUGAGACAAGGAAGGAGCUCUGUGAAGAGAUAUGGAUGUAUAUUCACUUGUCUGGUUAUAAGAGCAAUACACAUAGAGGUACUGCAUUCAUUGGAGACGGAUUCAUUUCUGAAUGCCCUUCAGAGAUUUAUUUCACGCAGAGGACAACCAGAGAUUAUCAGAUCCGACAAUGGUACAAAUUUCAUAGGUGCUGAACGUGAACUGAGGGAGGGAUUGAAACGAUGGAACCAGGAGAAGAUCCACGAUAAUCUCCUUCAACAAGGAAUUGAUUGGAAAUUCAAUCCACCGAGAGCAUCCCAUAUGGGUGGAUCAUGGGAAAGACAAAUCAGAACUACGAGAAAGGUCUUGAAUGCAGUCAUGAAGCAGCAGGUUCUGAAUGAUGAGGGCUUAACGACUCUUAUGUGUCUAGUAGAGGCAAUUAUCAAUGGGCGUCCACUCACCAUAACAUCUGAUGACGCAAGGGAUGCAGAGCCUCUCACACCAAAUCAUCUGCUGCUCCUGAGGUCAAAAAAUGCUCUACCACCUGAUGUGUUCCAGAAACAUGAUCUGUAUGGACGUCGACGCUGGCGGCAGAUUCAAUACCUGGCAGACUUAUUUUGGCGCAGGUGGGUGAAGGAAUACCUACCUUCCUUACAACAGCGGCAGAAGUGGCUGAAAGAGACGAGAAAUCUGGAGGAAGGUGACAUCGUGCUGAUUAUCGACAAUCUGCCGAGGAACAAGUGGUUGACGGGAAGAGUAAUCGAAACCUAUCCUGGGAAGGACAAGCUCGUCCGAUCGGGGAAGCUGAAACAUAGCACCGGUAUCCUAGUCAGGCCUGUGCAGAAACUAUGUCUUUUGGAAGAAGCAGAUAGCGUAUUGGUGAACCACAGCGACUAAUUGGAGCAUUCAUUUCUUAUGUGAGAUAAUUAUAUUGAUGCACGGUGAAUUAAACGUGCGAGGUGAGAGCCUAGCGCCGCCUCUUGUGAAUUUUUGUGUCGCAAUUUUCCUGAUCCGUGACGAGCGUAAGAUCCUGAUCAUCAUGUUUCAGUUUUGGAAGAAGCAAAGAGCGUAAAUUGGUGAACCGUGGAGAGCGAUCUCAAUUUAAAUGGAUCCACAGCGAAGAACGACUAAAUUGGAGCAUUAGUUUCUUAUGUGAGAUAAUUAUAUUUGAUGCACGAUGAAUUAAACGUGCGAGGUGAGAGCCUAGCGCCGCCUCUUGUGAAUUUUUUAUGUCGCGAUUAUCCUGAUCCGUGACAAGCGAAAGAUCCUGAUCAUCAUAUUCAAGUUAGACUGACGUCGACGCAAGACAGAACUCGUUUACAGCAACAAACUUGUUUAAGCGCAAGAAAUUGAUAAAAACAGUCCUCAGACUUUAUACAAGACUAUUUGCGGUAACAUUGUGCCCUUGAGGUAAAUCGGGCACGUUAUAUUUGAGGACAGUGGACUCUACUCUUGAAGAGUAAUAAACAUUUCAGCCUUGUUAUAGACUAUGUCAUAUUAUGUUUAUUAGUCAAUACUUGAAGAAAGACUAUAAUGGACUUCAGAAUACAUGUAUUCAUUUCAGUAUUGAACUGAGACUAUUGCUGAAAGAUUUUUUUUGUUCGAACGAUAUUCAUACGUAAUUUCUUACAUGUUUUUUCCUAAGAGCAGGAGUUAAAUAUUUGACCACUACAAAUGAGAAUCAUUUGUCAUGAUAACAUGUUAUUUGGUCAAUGCAUGAGCAUACAAAUAUGUAGUGUCUAGUUCAAGUUGAAACUUUAAAGAACCGAAUUGUGUUGAUAUUUGAUGCAUAGACCCAAAAGAGGAUAUUUGAUAUGAAGGGGAUAGUUGAACUAAAGUUUUGUAUACCGGAAGUAAAUUGACAAUUUACUCAAGAUUGCGAAUGAUGAGAAAGUUUAAUCACAGAAGCACCAUUUUCCGAAUUUGAAAAUCAUUUUUUGUGUGUAACCCUGUUGUACUUAGUGGUGGGCUACUGAAUUUUGCUUGAAAACUCACAAAAAGGGGGUUUAGUUUCAAGAAUCGAGUACUGAAAUACACAGUUCUGAGUAGUUAGCAGCUCUAGUGCAUAGAGGUACAUGUAGAAUCAUUAUGUUUGAGCUGAUAUAUUUCGUAUUUUCCUUUGGUAAUUCACUAGAUAACUCAAAGCGUGUAAGGAAUGUCAAGGACUUUAACAAUCCUUGUUAUUGUUAUUUGCUACAGAGUGUCAACAAUUGUGUUGAGAUUUAGUUAAUGUGUACUCUAUUAAGGCAACUGAUCGUUUUGCCCAAUGUUACUUUAAUUGACCUGUCGGUAUACAUUUUUAGAAGACAAGUGUUUGUUGUGUAUAGGCUAUAAAUUCACCCUAAAGGCAUUUACUGUAAUGUACUACAUUGUGUAAAUGAAAUUAAUGGAAUGUGCUAUGCAGAGUUGAGUGUAAAUUCUGAAUGUUUAGUUGUGUUUUAUUAACAGAAAAGUUAGACAAUUUGAAUGGAAGUUGAAGUUAUUUGGAUAAAUGCUUUGCUGUGGCUACGCAUUUAAGGGGCCGGGAUGUAAGAUUUAGAAAGUUUUCUGUCAUGACGUCGGUUCAGAUUAACCAUAAUUUCAUUUGGUCGUAAGAGGGCGUUUGUAGUUCGCCAGCCUAAAAGUCACGAAAUUUGAAAUGUUUUGUGGACAGUGAUUCCAUCAGUAAUCCCCGACAAUCGAGACAAGCCCAAUGUUAUGAACUGCAUUUUAUGCACGUAUCUCAACUUGGAUGUCGUCGUCCUUUCUUUAAGCCUACUGUUGGGGUCACUUCAGCAGAAUUUAACGUCACAGCUUUAUU